GGAUGUGAGGGUGAUCUGGCUGCGACACCUGUCACCCCAUUGAUCGCCAGAGAAGAUUCAGUUGAUCUGGCUGGGCAGGCGGGUGUCCCCUUCCUCCCUCACUGUUCCAUGUGCAUCCCUCCCGAAGCUGCGCGCUCGGUCAAAGAGGAUGACCUUCCCCGCUAGAGGAAGACCGUUCUUCGGUCCAGGGUAUACAAAUACUGUGCUCCCCUGCUAGAACCUCCAAACAAGCUCUCAAAAACAACUACAAAGCAGCUAAGAAAACCUGCAAAGUAAAACUAAUCUAAAAUAAUUUUAUAGUUUU
rnacentral:snRNA from 1 species